GAAUAAAAGCACCAUUUUAGAUGCGGUUGAAAAAAAUAGUUUGGAAAAAGCUGCUUUGUUAUUUUAGUAUUCUUAUAACUAAAACUUAUUAAAUUUAAUUUCAAAUUAUUAUUUAAUACUCUCUAAGUAGUAUAUCUAAAAAAGUGAUUUUCUCAAUAACAGUUCCAACAGCAAUGCCAAACGAACCCUUAAUAAGGAGAGAUUAGACAAAUUUUGGGUUUUAAACAUUAUUGCUUAAAUCUUCCAUUGCAUGAUAUUUCUUUAUCUGCAACA
rnacentral:misc_RNA from 1 species